rnacentral:rRNA from 1 species
GGUUGAUCCUGCCAGUAGUCAUAUGCUUGUCUCAAAGAUUAAGCCAUGCAUGUCCAAGUAUAAAUCUUUAUACGGUGAAACUGCGAAUGGCUCAUUAAAUCAGUUAUAAUUUAUUUGAUAGUACCUUACUACUUGGAUAACCGUGGUAAUUCUAGAGCUAAUACAUGCAUCAAGGCCUGACGCCUUCAAUGGCGGAGGGCUGUAUUUAUUAGGUAAAAACCAACGUUGGCCGUCACGUACGGCCAGCUAACCGGUGAUUCAUAAUAACUUCUCGGAUCGUAUGACCUUGUGU